rnacentral:lncRNA from 1 species
AUUUUUAGUAAUCUAGUAUUAAGGAAAUAAAUUUAUUUCUCAAUAUACAUUAACAAAUUAAAAAAGUAGUUAUUUGAUAAUUAAAAGGCUAGUAAAAUAUUUUCGUCCAAUUUUGUACUUUAUUUAUUUUAUAUAUAACAUGUACUAUAAUGUAAUCUUUUUAUACACACAUCAAAAAGGAUCUGUAACUGAUUAAAUGAUAACGAUAAAAUUAAUUAUCUACUUUUGGUUUAGAUAGAAAGAUAGUAAAGGCACAUCUAAGUAAUAAGAAGUUGUUUGUCCUGCAGCUUCUCUGUCAUUCAAGGUAAAGGUCAUGGGAUCAAUACCUGAUCUUCACAUUCCAAAGUAAUUUUAAAAAUCAAUCAAAGAGGUCAAUCAGGUUUUCGAUGAAACAGCCAGCUUAUCCUGAUUUUGACUGGUUCAAUUGCAUUCUGGUCACUUAUGGGAGACCAGACUGGUAAGAAUUAUUCUUGGGGUACAUAACCCAUUACAUAAGAAUGUCCAAAAUGAAUAGGGAUGCCUGCCCUUAUGUGCCCCCCUAUGUACCCCAAGAAUAACCCAACUGGUAAACAGUCUGAGUUGCUGAUUUUCCAGUCGAACCAGCUGGUUUGGUUUUAAUAUUAUGGUAAAUGUCAACAAUAUCAUAAAUAACUAUUCAAACACAGAUAUCUUAAGAAUGAAAAGUAUCUAAACCUUCCUUCAAGUUGCGCAGGACCCAACUUUGCCAAAGCGCGUUCGACCUCCUCACUUACCUGUUGAAUACAGAUAAAUUAUGAGAUUAAAGUGGUUGCGAGUAAUCUAAAUGAAGAUAACAUCGAGGUGAUCUCUCAUGCAUCAAAUUCACUUUUCAACCAAAGAUUGUCUCUCACAGCGUACAUGCUUGGAGUCACUAAUAUUAACGGAAUAAUAUCGNN